AGCGUACACGGUGGAUGCCCUGGCAGUCAGAGGCGAUGAAGGACGUGCUAAUCUGCGAUAAGCGUCGGUAAGGUGAUAUGAACCGUUAUAACCGGCGAUUUCCGAAUGGGGAAACCCAGUGUGAUUCGUCACACUAUCAUUAACUGAAUCCAUAGGUUAAUGAGGCGAACCGGGGGAACUGAAACAUCUAAGUACCCCGAGGAAAAGAAAUCAACCGAGAUUCCCCCAGUAGCGGCGAGCGAACGGGGAGCAGCCCAGAGCCUGAAUCAGUGUGUGUGUUAGUGGAAGCGUCUGGAAAGGCGCGCGAUACAGGGUGACAGCCCCGUACACAAAAAUGCACAUGCUGUGAGCUCGAUGAGUAGGGCGGGACACGUGGUAUCCUGUCUGAAUAUGGGGGGACCAUCCUCCAAGGCUAAAUACUCCUGACUGACCGAUAGUGAACCAGUACCGUGAGGGAAAGGCGAAAAGAACCCCGGCGAGGGGAGUGAAAAAGAACCUGAAACCGUGUACGUACAAGCAGUGGGAGCACAGAGCAAUCUGUGUGACUGCGUACCUUUUGUAUAAUGGGUCAGCGACUUAUAUUCUGUAGCAAGGUUAACCGAAUAGGGGAGCCGAAGGGAAACCGAGUCUUAACUGGGCGUUAAGUUGCAGGGUAUAGACCCGAAACCCGGUGAUCUAGCCAUGGGCAGGUUGAAGGUUGGGUAACACUAACUGGAGGACCGAACCGACUAAUGUUGAAAAAUUAGCGGAUGACUUGUGGCUGGGGGUGAAAGGCCAAUCAAACCGGGAGAUAGCUGGUUCUCCCCGAAAGCUAUUUAGGUAGCGCCUCGUGAAUUCAUCUCCGGGGGUAGAGCACUGUUUCGGCAAGGGGGUCAUCCCGACUUACCAACCCGAUGCAAACUGCGAAUACCGGAGAAUGUUAUCACGGGAGACACACGGCGGGUGCUAACGUCCGUCGUGAAGAGGGAAACAACCCAGACCGCCAGCUAAGGUCCCAAAGUCAUGGUUAAGUGGGAAACGAUGUGGGAAGGCCCAGACAGCCAGGAUGUUGGCUUAGAAGCAGCCAUCAUUUAAAGAAAGCGUAAUAGCUCACUGGUCGAGUCGGCCUGCGCGGAAGAUGUAACGGGGCUAAACCAUGCACCGAAGCUGCGGCAGCGACGCUUAUGCGUUGUUGGGUAGGGGAGCGUUCUGUAAGCCUGCGAAGGUGUGCUGUGAGGCAUGCUGGAGGUAUCAGAAGUGCGAAUGCUGACAUAAGUAACGAUAAAGCGGGUGAAAAGCCCGCUCGCCGGAAGACCAAGGGUUCCUGUCCAACGUUAAUCGGGGCAGGGUGAGUCGACCCCUAAGGCGAGGCCGAAAGGCGUAGUCGAUGGGAAACAGGUUAAUAUUCCUGUACUUGGUGUUACUGCGAAGGGGGGACGGAGAAGGCUAUGUUGGCCGGGCGACGGUUGUCCCGGUUUAAGCGUGUAGGCUGGUUUUCCAGGCAAAUCCGGAAAAUCAAGGCUGAGGCGUGAUGACGAGGCACUACGGUGCUGAAGCAACAAAUGCCCUGCUUCCAGGAAAAGCCUCUAAGCAUCAGGUAACAUCAAAUCGUACCCCAAACCGACACAGGUGGUCAGGUAGAGAAUACCAAGGCGCUUGAGAGAACUCGGGUGAAGGAACUAGGCAAAAUGGUGCCGUAACUUCGGGAGAAGGCACGCUGAUAUGUAGGUGAAGUCCCUCGCGGAUGGAGCUGAAAUCAGUCGAAGAUACCAGCUGGCUGCAACUGUUUAUUAAAAACACAGCACUGUGCAAACACGAAAGUGGACGUAUACGGUGUGACGCCUGCCCGGUGCCGGAAGGUUAAUUGAUGGGGUCAGCGCAAGCGAAGCUCUUGAUCGAAGCCCCGGUAAACGGCGGCCGUAACUAUAACGGUCCUAAGGUAGCGAAAUUCCUUGUCGGGUAAGUUCCGACCUGCACGAAUGGCGUAAUGAUGGCCAGGCUGUCUCCACCCGAGACUCAGUGAAAUUGAACUCGCUGUGAAGAUGCAGUGUACCCGCGGCAAGACGGAAAGACCCCGUGAACCUUUACUAUAGCUUGACACUGAACAUUGAGCCUUGAUGUGUAGGAUAGGUGGGAGGCUUUGAAGUGUGGACGCCAGUCUGCAUGGAGCCGACCUUGAAAUACCACCCUUUAAUGUUUGAUGUUCUAACGUGGACCCGUAAUCCGGGUUGCGGACAGUGUCUGGUGGGUAGUUUGACUGGGGCGGUCUCCUCCUAAAGAGUAACGGAGGAGCACGAAGGUUGGCUAAUCCUGGUCGGACAUCAGGAGGUUAGUGCAAUGGCAUAAGCCAGCUUGACUGCGAGCGUGACGGCGCGAGCAGGUGCGAAAGCAGGUCAUAGUGAUCCGGUGGUUCUGAAUGGAAGGGCCAUCGCUCAACGGAUAAAAGGUACUCCGGGGAUAACAGGCUGAUACCGCCCAAGAGUUCAUAUCGACGGCGGUGUUUGGCACCUCGAUGUCGGCUCAUCACAUCCUGGGGCUGAAGUAGGUCCCAAGGGUAUGGCUGUUCGCCAUUUAAAGUGGUACGCGAGCUGGGUUUAGAACGUCGUGAGACAGUUCGGUCCCUAUCUGCCGUGGGCGCUGGAGAAUUGAGGGGGGCUGCUCCUAGUACGAGAGGACCGGAGUGGACGCAUCACUGGUGUUCGGGUUGUCAUGCCAAUGGCACUGCCCGGUAGCUAAAUGCGGAAGAGAUAAGUGCUGAAAGCAUCUAAGCACGAAACUUGCCCCGAGAUGAGUUCUCCCUGACUCCUUGA
rnacentral:rRNA from 1 species